AGUCCAGUAGCACCUUAGAGACCAACUAAGUUUGUUCUGGGUAUAAGCUUUCGUGUGCAUGCACAAGAACAAACUUAGUUGGUCUCUAAGGUGCUACUGGACA